rnacentral:rRNA from 1 species
GUGGGGAAUAUUGGACAAUGGGCGAAAGCCUGAUCCAGUCAUGCCGCGUGUGUGAAGAAGGUCUUCGGAUUGUAAAGCACUUUAAGUUGGGAGGAAGGGCAGUAAGUUAAUACCUUGUUGUUUUGACGUUACCGACAGAAUAAGCACCGGCUAACUUCGUGCCAGCAGCCGCGGUAAUACGAAGGGUGCAAGCGUUAAUCGGAAUUACUGGGCGUAAAGCGCGCGUAGGUGGUUUUGUAAGUUGGAGGUGAAAUCCCCGGGCUCAACCUGGGAACUGCCUCCAAAACUGCAUGACUAGAGUACGGUAGAGGGUAGUGGAAUUUCCUGUGUAGCGGUGAAAUGCGUAGAUAUAGGAAGGAACACCAGUGGCGAAGGCGACUACCUGGACUGAUACUGACACUGAGGUGCGAAAGCGUGGGGAGCAAACAGGAUUAGAUACCCGUGUAGUCC